GUAGGGUGCAAGCGUUAUCCGGAUUUACUGGGUGUAAAGGGCGAGUAGACGGCGUUGCAAGUCAGAUGUGAAAACCUAGGGCUCAACCGUAGGACUGCAUCUGAAACUGUAAUGCUAGAGUGCAGGAGAGGUAAGCGGAAUUCCUAGUGUAGCGGUGAAAUGCGUAGAUAUUAGGAGGAACACCAGUGGCGAAGGCGGCUUACUGGACUGUAACUGACGUUGAGGAGCGAAAGUGUGGGGAGCAAA
rnacentral:rRNA from 1 species